rnacentral:tRNA from 1 species
GUCACUUUGCCGGAGUGGUUAACGGGAUCGCCUGCUACCUUGCAGUAGUCGAAAGCGGUUGGGCUUUGCCCGCGUGUGUUCGAAUCGCACAGGUGACG